rnacentral:rRNA from 1 species
GACGGAGGAUGCAAGUGUUAUCCGGAAUCACUGGGCGUAAAGCGUCUGUAGGUGGUCAAAUAAGUCAACUGUUAAAUCUUGAGGCUCAACCUCAAAAUCGCAGUCGAAACUAUUAGACUAGAGUAUAGUAGGGGUAAAGGGAAUUUCCAGUGGAGCGGUGAAAUGCGUAGAGAUCGGGAAGAACAUCGGUGGCGAAAGCGCUCUACUGGACCGCAACUGACACUCAGGGACGAAAGCUAGGGGAGCGAAUGGG